GUCCACGCCCUAACGAUGCUGACUAGUUGUUCGGGAUUUACAUCCUGAGUAACGUAGCUAACGCGUGAAGUCAGCCGCCUGGGGAGUACGGUCGCAAGAUUAAACUCAAAGGAAUUGACGGGACCCGCACAAGCGGUGGAUGAUGUGGAUUAAUUCGAUGCAACGCGAAAACCUUACCUACCCUUGACAUGUCACUAACGAAGUAGAGAUACAUUAGGUGCUCGUAAGAGAAAGUGAACACAGGUGCUGCAUGGCUGUCGU
rnacentral:rRNA from 1 species